rnacentral:rRNA from 1 species
AUGGUCAUCAACGACCCGUCUUGAAACACGGACCAAGGAGUCGUCUUCGUAUGCGAGUGUUCGGGUGUCAAACCCCUACGCGUAAUGAAAGUGAACGCAGGUGAGAGCUUCGGCGCAUCAUCGACCGAUCCUGAUGUUCUCGGAUGGAUUUGAGUAAGAGCAUACGGGGCCGGACCCGAAAGAAGGUGAACUAUGCCUGUGUAG